GGGAAAGCUGAAAGUCGGUUACGCUGACACUUACAGAUGGGCCCGCGGCGCAUUAGCUAGUUGGUGAGGUAACGGCUCACCAAGGCGACGAUGCGUAGCCGACCUGAGAGGGUGAUCGGCCACACUGGGACUGAGACACGGCCCAGACUCCUACGGGAGGCAGCAGUAGGGAAUCUUCCGCAAUGGACGAAAGUCUGACGGAGCAACGCCGCGUGAGCGAUGAAGGCCUUCGGGUCGUAAAGCUCUGUUGUUAGGGAAGAACAAGUAUCGGAGUAACUGCCGGUACCUUGACGGUACCUAACCAGAAAGCCACGGCUAACUACGUGCCCAGCAGCCGCGGUUAAAUAA
rnacentral:rRNA from 2 species